GUCCGACCGUAAACUUUAACUUACACACCCAUCGCCAGGGAACUACGAGCAAAGCUUAAAACCCAAAGGACUUGACGGUACCCCAUAUCCCCCUAGAGGAGCCUGUCCUAUAAUCGAUAAUCCCCGUUUAACCUCACCAUUUCUAGUUAAUCAACCUGUAUACCUCCGUCGUCAGCUUACCACGUGAGCGAACAAUAGUGAGCCUAAUGACAUUUCACCCAUACGUCAGGUCAAGGUGCAGUAAAUGAAAUGGAAAGAGAUGGGCUACACUUUCUAAACUAGAAAAUACAGAAGACUAUUUAUGAAACCUAGUCAGAAGGCGGAUUUAGCAGUAAAAAGAAACUAGAGUGUUCUUUUUAACACGGCACUGGGGUGUGUACACACCGCCCGUCACCCUCCUCAAAGCCAAAAAACAGUAUUUAACUACUUCACGCACUACAGAAGAGGCAAGUCGUAACAUGGUAGGUAUACCGGAAGGUGUGCUUGGAUUAA
rnacentral:rRNA from 1 species